UGGGGAAUAUUGCACAAUGGGCGCAAGCCUGAUGCAGCCAUGCCGCGUGUAUGAAGAAGGCCUUCGGGUUGUAAAGUACUUUCAGCGGGGAGGAAGGCGAUAAGGUUAAUAACCUUGUCGAUUGACGUUACCCGCAGAAGAAGCACCGGCUAACUCCGUGCCAGCAGCCGCGGUAAUACGGAGGGUGCAAGCGUUAAUCGGAAUUACUGGGCGUAAAGCGCACGCAGGCGGGCUGUCAAGUCGGAUGUGAAAUCCCCGGGCGCAACCUGGGAACUGCAUUCGAAACUGGCAGGCUAGAGUCUUGUAGAGGGGGGUAGAAUUCCAGGUGUAGCGGUGAAAUGCGUAGAGAUCUGGAGGAAUACCGGUGGCGAAGGCGGCCCCCUGGACAAAGACUGACGCUCAGGUGCGAAAGCGUGGGGAGCAAACA
rnacentral:rRNA from 1 species